rnacentral:lncRNA from 10 species
UCAUGAAAGCUAAGAGAGUUUGAUUUCUUCUGUCUCUCUAUUUCCAUAUCUUAUUUUCAGAUAAAUCUUCUGAUGGAUUCCCACCUGAACCUGAUCCUAAUUCCAGAAACACAAAGCCUGGAUUCUUUGUGUUCACUACAUUUAUUCUGUCUUUCCAUGAGCUAAGGCUGUAAAUCCCACAGUGAAGCAUGCAUAAACACCAACUAGACGGGAUUAGACCACACUAUUUAGUUAAUCUCAGUUUACAAAAGCUCUUCUUUCUUUGUCUGAAAGGCUGCCACAGAAAUCCAGCAAACGUGAGAAUGUCUUGCACUAUGGGUAGUGAGAGGGUAAAAAUAACUGCUUGCCUUCAUGAGCCCUCUCUCUCUUUGAGAAACUCUAUGUAUAUUUUCAGGGUGAAGGAUUUCUACUGUAAAUGCUUCAAAUCAUCAUCAUGGGGGAGAAGAGCACAGCAGUAUUUCCUUCCAAAAUAAUCCCAAGCUACAUUGGUUGGUAAUAAAUAAUGUGGUUAAAGAAGGCAGAUUCUAAGAUAGAAUUUUGGACCUGGAUCACCUGUAGCCUGCCUAGCAAUGAAGACCUCAUCAGUGGUGAUAGAUGGAGAACAGAUACACCUUGGAACCAGGUAGUGAUCUAACUUAACAUUUUUCACUAAUGUUACGCUAAGAUGGAAUACUAAUGAAAUGCAAUGCACUGAUGGGUAACAUGUAUAAGGUGGUUGAGAAACAAUAUAGGGUGUCCAGAGAUAAGAGCAAUCAGCUAAGGGAGGAAUGGGACUAGAUAAUGAAGAAGCUGCAGGGCCUAACCAACUUGUAAGGGCAGGGGUCAUGAGAGUAUAAAUGGGACAGAAUUCUGAAGGUGCUAGAUUCAGAAAACAGAGAAGAACAGAAAGUUAGACAAGAAAGAGUUUAUCAAGUUGGAAAUACUCUCCCAGUGGAGGAUUUUACAUCCUGACAAAGAUCCUCGAAGAUAUCCAAAACAGGUUUUGAGGAUGGCUCCUGGAAGCUUGAAGAAAGCAAUGGCCACAUCAAAUGAAGUAGGAAAGAUACAUUGGGUGCAAGGCUAUCAUUACCAUAACAUUCUCUGGCCUUAGCAUUUACCUACUUCUCAUCUAGAAAAUGCCACCGUUAUUUUAAAAUACAAAGUCAGAAGUUAAAAAUAACUCAAUAUCUUAAUCUCUGGAGUUUAUACCUAGUUAUGAAUUCACUGCUAAGCAACGUGUGAUAAAAUACUAGUCUUUAGUGUUUAAAUCUCCAUCCUAGUCCAACAUGCAUUCAUUAUUAUUAUUAUGUUUUUGAGACGGAGUCUUGCUCUGUCGCCCAGGCUGGAAGUGCAGUGGCACAAUCUCGGCUCACUGCAAGCUCCGCCUCUUGGGUUCACGACAUUCUCCUGCCUCAGCCUCCCAAG